UACGUAGGGUGCGAGCGUUAAUCGGAAUUACUGGGCGUAAAGCGUGCGCAGGCGGUUUGUUAAGCCAGCUGUGAAAGCCCCGGGCUCAACCUGGGAACUGCGUUUGGUACUGGCAAGCUAGAGUACGGCAGAGGGGGGUGGAAUUCCACGUGUAGCAGUGAAAUGCGUAGAGAUGUGGAGGAACACCGAUGGCGAAGGCAGCCCCCUGGGCCGAUACUGACGCUCAGGCACGAAAGCGUGGGGAGCAAACAGG
rnacentral:rRNA from 1 species